CGAGACCUCCAUACCAUACACCCUGCAUACCAUACACCCUGCAUCCCACUGCUGGCUUGCCUCUGAAGCUAAGUAGGGUUGGUCCUAGUCGGUCCCUGGAUGGGAGACCAGAUGCUGCUGGAAGUGGUGUUGG
ensembl:rRNA 5S_rRNA 5S ribosomal RNA